rnacentral:rRNA from 1 species
UACGGGGGGGGGUAAGCGUUGUUCGGAAUUACUGGGCGUAAAGGGCUCGUAGGCGGCCAACUAAGUCAGACGUGAAAUCCCUCAGCUUGACUGGGGAACUGCGUCUGAUACUGGAUGGCUUGGAUUCGGGAGAGGAAUGCGGAAUUCCAGGUGUAGCGGUGAAAUGCGUAGAUAUCUGGAGGAACACCGGUGGCGAAGGCGGCAUUCUGGACCGAUAUUGACGCUGAGGAGCGAAAGCCAGGGGAGCAAACGGG